AGCGAACGUUAGCGGCGGGCCUAACACAUGCAAGUCGAGCGAGAAAGUGGCUUCGGCCAUUAGUAAAGCGGCGGACGGGUGAGUAACACGUAGGUAAUCUUCCCUUGAGCGGGGGACAACGAGCCGAAAGGCUCGCUAAUACCGCAUAAGUUCCCAGGGACCUCGGUCUCUGGGAGGAAAGCUAGGUAGCAAUAUCCGGCACUCGAGGAGGAGCCUGCGUCGCAUCAGCUAGUUGGUGGGGUAAUGGCCUACCAAGGCGAAGACGCGUAGCUGGUCUGAGAGGAUGAUCAGCCACACUGGGACUGAGACACGGCCCAGACUCCUACGGGAGGCUG
rnacentral:rRNA from 1 species